GCACUGGUGGUUCACUGGUAGAAUUCUCCCUUUUGAUGCAGGAGACCCAGGUUCAAUUCCCAGCCAGUGCA
rnacentral:tRNA from 1 species